AGUGCAUCAGGCGGAUGCCUUGGCGAUGAUAGGCGACGAAGGACGUGUAAGCCUGCGAAAAGCGCGGGGGAGCUGGCAAUAAAGCUAUGAUUCCGCGAUGUCCGAAUGGGGAAACCCACUGCAUUCUGUGCAGUAUCCUAAGUUGAAUACAUAGGCUUAGAGAAGCGAACCCGGAGAACUGAACCAUCUAAGUACCCGGAGGAAAAGAAAUCAACCGAGAUUCCGCAAGUAGUGGCGAGCGAACGCGGAGGAGCCUGUACGUAAUAACUGUCGAGAUAGAAGAACAAGCUGGGAAGCUUGACCAUAGCGGGUGACAGUCCCGUAUUCGAAAUCUCAACAGCGGUACUAAGCGUACGAAAAGUAGGGCGGGACACGUGAAAUCCUGUCUGAAUAUGGGGGGACCAUCCUCCAAGGCUAAAUACUCAUCAUCGACCGAUAGUGAACCAGUACCGUGAGGGAAAGGCGAAAAGAACCCCGGGAGGGGAGUGAAACAGAACCUGAAACCUGAUGCAUACAAACAGUGGGAGCGCCCUAGUGGUGUGACUGCGUACCUUUUGUAUAAUGGGUCAACGACUUACAUUCAGUAGCGAGCUUAACCGGAUAGGGGAGGCGUAGGGAAACCGAGUCUUAAUAGGGUGAUGAGUUGCUGGGUGUAGACCCGAAACCGAGUGAUCUAUCCAUGGCCAGGUUGAAGGUGCCGUAACAGGUACUGGAGGACCGAACCCACGCAUGUUGCAAAAUGCGGGGAUGAGCUGUGGGUAGGGGUGAAAGGCUAAACAAACUCGGAGAUAGCUGGUUCUCCCCGAAAACUAUUUAGGUAGUGCCUCGAGCAAGACACUGAUGGGGGUAAAGCACUGUUAUGGCUAGGGGGUUAUUGCAACUUACCAACCCAUGGCAAACUCAGAAUACCAUCAAGUGGUUCCUCGGGAGACAGACAGCGGGUGCUAACGUCCGUUGUCAAGAGGGAAACAACCCAGACCGCCGGCUAAGGUCCCAAAUGAUAGAUUAAGUGGUAAACGAAGUGGGAAGGCACAGACAGCCAGGAUGUUGGCUUAGAAGCAGCCAUCAUUUAAAGAAAGCGUAAUAGCUCACUGGUCGAGUCGUCCUGCGCGGAAGAUGUAACGGGGCUCAAAUCUAUAACCGAAGCUGCGGAUGCCGGUUUACCGGCAUGGUAGGGGAGCGUUCUGUAGGCUGAUGAAGGUGCAUUGUAAAGUGUGCUGGAGGUAUCAGAAGUGCGAAUGUUGACAUGAGUAGCGAUAAAGCGGGUGAAAAGCCCGCUCGCCGAAAGCCCAAGGUUUCCUACGCAACGUUCAUCGGCGUAGGGUAAGUCGGCCCCUAAGGCGAGGCAGAAAUGCGUAGUCGAUGGGAAACAGGUUAAUAUUCCUGUACUUGAUUCAAAUGCGAUGUGGGGACGGAGAAGGUUAGGUUGGCAAGCUGUUGGAAUAGCUUGUUUAAGCCGGUAGGUGGAAGACUUAGGCAAAUCCGGGUUUUCUUAACACCGAGAAGUGAUGACGAGUGUCUACGGACACGAAGCAACCGAUACCACGCUUCCAGGAAAAGCCACUAAGCUUCAGUUUGAAUCGAACCGUACCGCAAACCGACACAGGUGGGCAGGAUGAGAAUUCUAAGGCGCUUGAGAGAACUCGGGAGAAGGAACUCGGCAAAUUGAUACCGUAACUUCGGGAGAAGGUAUGCCCUCUAAGGUUAAGGACUUGCUCCGUAAGCCCCGGAGGGUCGCAGAGAAUAGGUGGCUGCGACUGUUUAUUAAAAACACAGCACUCUGCCAACACGAAAGUGGACGUAUAGGGUGUGACGCCUGCCCGGUGCCGGAAGGUUAAUUGAAGAUGUGCAAGCAUCGGAUCGAAGCCCCGGUAAACGGCGGCCGUAACUAUAACGGUCCUAAGGUAGCGAAAUUCCUUGUCGGGUAAGUUCCGACCCGCACGAAUGGCGUAACGAUGGCCACACUGUCUCCUCCCGAGACUCAGCGAAGUUGAAGUGGUUGUGAAGAUGCAAUCUACCCGCUGCUAGACGGAAAGACCCCGUGAACCUUUACUGUAGCUUUGCAUUGGACUUUGAAGUCACUUGUGUAGGAUAGGUGGGAGGCUUGGAAGCAGAGACGCCAGUCUCUGUGGAGUCGUCCUUGAAAUACCACCCUGGUGUCUUUGAGGUUCUAACCCAGACCCGUCAUCCGGGUCGGGGACCGUGCAUGGUAGGCAGUUUGACUGGGGCGGUCUCCUCCCAAAGCGUAACGGAGGAGUUCGAAGGUUACCUAGGUCCGGUCGGAAAUCGGACUGAUAGUGCAAUGGCAAAAGGUAGCUUAACUGCGAGACCGACAAGUCGGGCAGGUGCGAAAGCAGGACAUAGUGAUCCGGUGGUUCUGUAUGGAAGGGCCAUCGCUCAACGGAUAAAAGGUACUCCGGGGAUAACAGGCUGAUUCCGCCCAAGAGUUCAUAUCGACGGCGGAGUUUGGCACCUCGAUGUCGGCUCAUCACAUCCUGGGGCUGUAGUCGGUCCCAAGGGUAUGGCUGUUCGCCAUUUAAAGUGGUACGUGAGCUGGGUUUAAAACGUCGUGAGACAGUUUGGUCCCUAUCUGCAGUGGGCGUUGGAAGUUUGACGGGGGCUGCUCCUAGUACGAGAGGACCGGAGUGGACGAACCUCUGGUGUACCGGUUGUAACGCCAGUUGCAUAGCCGGGUAGCUAAGUUCGGAAGAGAUAAGCGCUGAAAGCAUCUAAGCGCGAAACUCGCCUGAAGAUGAGACUUCCCUUGCGGUUUAACCGCACUAAAGGGUCGUUCGAGACCAGGACGUUGA
rnacentral:rRNA from 1 species